rnacentral:lncRNA from 1 species
AUAUUUAAUAUCUAAAUAACUAGCUAGUUCAGCUUUCUGAAAUUUUUACAGUAAAUUUAUAUCACUAAUUUGAACUUCUCUACAAAGUUUCAUGAAAAUCUGUUCAUUUUGAUUUAGCAGCGGAACUCCCUUAAACGAGCAAGUACAUUGUUUCAAAAAUUUAACAGUAUUUUUCUGGCUAAGCUGUAUCGUUGUAAAGUUUCACUAACAUCUGUUCAUUAUUUCUACGUUUAAUAUGGCGAUAAAAACAAAAAAAAAUCAAUUCCCAUAAGAGUCCAUAUAAAUAAAAUAUUUAAUAUCUAAAUAACUAGCAGUUCAGUUUUCUGGAAUUUUGAUAAUCAAUUUAUACCACUAAUUUGAACUUCUCUACAAAGUUUAUCUCUACAAACUAAAUUUAUUAUUGUAGAUCUAUUUAAUAACCUACAACUUUUAUUUGAAACUUUUUGAAUUCUGUUUUUAGUUUACGAGGCGCAAGCCAAAAUUGUUUUUUUCUUAUUUUAACCCGUAAUUUUUGCAAUAAGUCUCAGCUUUUUGCGAGUGGCAAAUGUACCUACUUAAUCCACGCAUAUUAAUUGUGCUUGACGCAUUUCAAACUUGUUAUCAAUUUUUUUCCAAAAAAGUAAUUCUACUAGACUAUGAUAGCUACUCUUACAACACGAAGUAAGCGCAGCAAAAGAACAAAUCGGUAUCGCGGAAAAAAGGCAACAAUAAACUUCGAUACAUUCGAUAUAUGCAAGUAUCGAUGUUACAUGCAUUUUUUAAAAAAGGAUACGGAGGGGAAAAGCAAAAUCAAAAAGUGAUUUUUCUCGAAAAUGGGUUAACCAAUUUUGAUGAAAAAAAAUGUUAUGAACAUCGAUAAGACUAUUUUUUUUUAUUUUGACAAAUAUAUGGAUUAAAAAAUUCUGGAAUUUUUAUAAAAAAUUUUUCAAGGUUAUGUUUUAGAGAUACACCUCCAUUUUUUUCAAAAAACCUCAAAGUGAUUACUUUAACAUAUUUUUUUCUUAAAAUUUUCAUGGAAGUACUUCAUGGCAAGAAAUGAUAGAAAUCGGCAUCUCGCCUUCACAGCACACUUACUCCAGCCGCAUACAUCGAAUGUACUAGCCUAGUUUUUGUGUCGGAUUUUUACAUUCUAUACAAAGUUAAUGAAAGUGUAGAUUUUAUUUUUAUUUGUAUUUUAUAUUUAUCUUAUGCGCUUAUUUUUUAUCGAAAUAAUUAUUAAAUUUGUGUCUCUUCACUUUUGACAAAAUAGGUAUUUUUUAAAUGAAUUUCCUUGCCUCUCGGUAAAGAUGGAUACUUGAAGAUGAAGAAAAAUUUUUACUCACGAAAAUUCACUAGGUAGUUAAAUCUAUUCACAGUGUGCUGAAACAAAAAUAUUGCUUUUUGGAUCAUAAAAUUGACAACAAGUCAAUACCGAAAAUUAGAAUUUAUUUCAGAAUCGCGUCGUUUCUCAACACUUUUGGAAAAAUGUUUUAUUCUGAUGUGGAUACUUUUUGAUGACAGUCUACAAAGAAUGUACAAAGAAUUGCGCAUGUGUACAAGUGCAAAGGCCACUUUUUGCACUUGUAUGCAUGCACGAACGAGAAAAGUAUGACCUAAAGCAUGUUAACCUUUUUCCUCUGAACCUUAAUCCUACUCCCGCAAUGCUCAGUCUAGAUAUACUAUGUCUAUGGUGUCAACUUGUAAAAAGAGACGCUGAGCAAGUAAAAAAGAGCAUUCUCACUCCCCUUACCGAAUGUUCAGCUCCCUCACCUGUUAGAGUACCUUAUACCAUAUAUUCUUUCGUACAAUGCUCAGUUUAGAUAUAUUUUGUCUAUGGUUGACACCGUCGGCAUCAACGAACGUAACCAAAGAUAUCCGAACUUUGAAAGUUGCGUUAUAGCUUAUGCAUAAUAAUUUUUCAAAGAUUGCAAAUUGUUUAGUUUUUGAUAUAUUAAUUAUUUAAUUGUUUAAUUUUUUUGUCUACUUUUAUAAAGUUAAUGAUUCGAAGUAAUUCGCAUUUCAUACUUUAAUUCGAGACUUGGCGGAUAUGAAGUAUAUCUAGUUUCAGGAAUCGUCAAGUAUGUGGCGGAAACAGCCGACGGUGUCAACUGGUAAAAAAAGAUAACGCUACACUCCCUCAAGGUUUGUUAAUGAACGACGGGAGAGGAAGGAAGGUCUUGCCACUCAUAUUUAGUCUUUUGGCCCCAAAAUGGCCGGGGCCAAUACGAUGUAUCAAUUCCACCUUCCCCUUACUACUACUCACUCACUCUUCUCGUACAACAAACACUACACAUAUGACUCCAUACACUUUAUGACUCCAAAAUGGCACUCAUGCGAUGACCUUCCUUUCUCUCCCGUCGUUCAUCUACAGACCUUGCACGCCCCUUACCGCAAAUUUCACAACCCCUCUGCUUUGUGCGGUGUCCAUAUAUUCUUUUGUCCAUGGAGACACUAAAAUCAUAUAUGUAAUAAGACUAUUGCUAGUUGAGCUGAAAAGAAAGUGAAAACAUUACGAAGCUACUUGGUGUACCUUGACAGUUUUGCGCACGCGCAAGUCGCUCCCGCUACCGCGCACCCCGCGGAUUCCUACUACUAUGUGCCACGCUUGCGCACAACGAUGUAGGUACACGAUUUUUAUUGUAUCUCUCUUUAAUUUUACCCACUCCUUCUAUGAGAUAAGCCCAACGCUAGUAAUAUAUGAGUAUUAUAUAUAUGACCGAAAUAUAUUCCAACCAGUGCUGCCAGAAAUGAAACUUUGAUACCAAUCAUAUAGCAAUAAAGACCAAAAGUCAAUACAGGCCGAUUUUAAAUGUCCUCAAGUGCCCUCAUGAUAUGGCGUGGACAUGUACUAUGUAGCCAAUGUUCAUGUUAAGGCCAAGAAUAACGCAUAUGUAUAUAAUUUUGGUUGCAUUGCCCGUGCUACGAAACGUGCACGAAUGUCCGUGCGAUAACACAAAAUUAUACAAAAUAAUUUCGAGAUUCAAUGAUCGAAUUUUUUUUUGCACGCUGUUGUAAUUUACACACACCAAAAGCAGUACACACACAGUAAUAACUACAGAUAUGACCCAUAUUACGACGUGUGCUAAUACAACUCAGUGAACUAAAAAUGACUGAUCAUGCGAAGACUACUUAACGCCAUCUCUCUAUCGACGGACCUUGGUUCGGUCUCCUGAUUCUAGUCUUCAUAACAGGCCUGCUCAUCUCAAGAGAGGGGGUGUAGACGCACGUAGAAAAGGAUAAGAUAUACGUUGAAAAAGGCAAACGAUUUAAGUGGAAAACUCUGCUUUUUCUCUCCUUGCAUCGAACAAGUUCAACGUACUUACGCAAAACUGAUUCGCAAAGGAUUUAUAGAAUUACAUACAUACGAAUGCUUGCAAAAA